rnacentral:misc_RNA from 1 species
AUAUGAGCUCAGUGAACCGGGACAAGUUUCUUCUCUCUGUAUCCUAGGUAUCCUAGAGAUAAAAACCUUAAUCCUCGAUGCAGGAUUCCAAGUUAAAUCCUCCCUGUGAAUAUAUAAAGUUAACCCUAUCUCCCCAAUAAACUCUGUUUAUGCAGGAUAUUCAAAAUGGUGGAAAUCGACAAAAAUAUUUGAGAUUAAAAUCGUGAAUUGAGAUAUGGUGAACUACACGGAGGAGAGAAAAUGUUUCAGUCCAAAAUAUUUAGUUAUAAAUUCAAUAGUUUCCAUGAUGAAGAGAGGAGAGAGGGGGCUCUGGGCUUCAAGAUAACCGCCAUUCAAGAGGAGAGGGCGGAGGAAGAGGCGGUUUCCCCCAAGAUGGAAACCCGCCGCAAGUUUGGAAUAGCCGAACCUAAUUCUAACCCCGGCGAUCCGAGUAACCCUGCCAGGAUUAAUGAAAGUAAAUCAUUAAAAUUCUUUAAAUCUGGAGGGGUUUGCUCCGUCAUAGAUGAGGAGAAGGAUAAGAACGAAACCGCUCCUCUAGAGCGGCAAGAUAGCGAGCUAUCAACCUUAUCCUCUUUUAGCGAGGUCGACCUCGACGAGUUUUAUGUCGAAGAAAGUCCUCCUGGGACGGAAGAGGACGACAAUAGAUUCACUUUCUCAUAUAAUUCAACGUUUCAUCGAGAAAAGCUCCACCAGGAGGGAGGCGGUAGGAGGUCGGAGGAUGCUGGCUCCGACAAGGACGAGGCCGGAGAUACCGAGGGAGAAGACGAGGAUCCUGAGCUCACUGUUCUCAACCAGUCCGGAGUAGAGGACAGUUUAUCCAUCCCGGAGCAGGAUAUCCGCCCCAAACUAAUUCUGAACAUCAUGUCUGGUUCAAACGACGAGAAGAGUGUGGUGAUGAGACAGGAGGAGGUGGAGGAGCAGGAUCAAUUCUUUGAUACUCCUCCGGGUUCAGCUCCUGUUAUACUACGACAUCCAAGGGUUCCUCCGCUACAUGGUUCAAGUUUAGUUCAGCACAAGUGUUCUGAACCCUGUAUGAACAGCCUACUAAGAAACCCACGACUUCAAGGUUUAGCCAACUCAGGAGCUCACACUAAUCCACCGCCCACACCAACCAAUCUUCUUCCUCCUGCGUUCCCAGUAGAGAAACAGAACCCGGAGCAUGGUUCUAAACGAGCAGGAGCAGGGUUGGGUAUGUCGAGAAGUAUCUCCGAUACUACCCUGAGACGUGCUGCUUUGCACCUUAAUCUCAGUCAAUCUGUUUUACCUUCUUUUACAUCUUUGCAACAGUUCAAGAAAGAACUAUCUGUAUCCCGACGAACUGCUGCACGAAGUCAGAGGAAGUCCAUGAUUGUCCAGACCAGUCCAACCAUGCCGAGAUGUCAUUCUCCUAUUACUACUGUCUCCCCACUUGAUUCCCCGAAAGUGUCUCCCUCUCAGUUUGCAUUUGUUAACAUCAAGAAAGCAGACGGGAGAAGAUGGUCUGUAGCCAGCCUACCCAGCUCCGGGUAUGGAACUACUCCUGGUUCUAGUAAUGUCUCCAGUCAGUGCUCUAGUCAGGAGAAACUUCAUCAGAUCUUGGCUCCACAUGGAGCUCUAGCUCCUAGUACUGCUGAACUACAAUCCAUGCACAGGCAUUUUUCUUCUAAUGAUUCCAACCCUGGUCUCAUAGAUCUAGAUGAUGGCAGAAGAUCACCUGCUUUCCGUCCUAGAUCAAGAUCGCUCAGUUCUCCGAUCCGUACUCCUCUGAUCGACAACGAGAUCGUCCUGAUGAACACGCUCUACAAGGAGAGGUUCCCCAAGGCCACCCAGCAGAUGGAAGAGAGACUCAAGAACUUUAUUACAGAUCAUGAAAGGUUGUGUGAACCCAACGAGGAUCAAGAGAUAAACCAUGAUAGUGUUGCUAUAGUUAGAUUCGUCCAUCAUCAGGUUCUAGAGAUGGCCAGGGAUUGUUUAACCAAGUCACAGGAGAGAUUGGUAACAAGCAGGUAUUUUUACGAGUUGAGUGAGAACCUUGAGAAACUGUUGGUUCAAACAAGAGAAAAAUCUCCCGAGGCGGCGGCUCUUCUCACUUGUCUGGUAAAGAAACUACUUCUUAUUGUAUCCCGUCCUGCUCGACUCCUGGAGUGCCUGGAGUUUGAUCCGGAGGAAUUCUAUCAACUCCUGGAGGCAGCUGAAGGACAGGCGAGAGUUGUGCACGGAGUUCAAACACAGCUUCCUCAGUAUAUAAUAAACAAACUGGGAUUAAACAGAGACCCCCUGGCAGAGUUACAACAAGACCUGGCAGCCCUAGAUACAUCCAGUGUUUGCUCAAGUCCUGAGAGGAACAGGGAGGGAAGCCUUGAACCAACACAUUCUACUCCUAAAGGGUCUGAUAGUGAGAACACGUCUGGAGCAGGAUCGGUAACCGGAGAAAACUUCCGGAGUAAACCUCCGUGUGAGGAUGAUUUUGAGGUUGCAAAACUGAUCUCCAACGGAGCCUAUGGAGCUGUGUAUCUAGUCAAGCACAAGGAGUCCAGGCAGAGGUUUGCUCUCAAGAAGAUCAACAAGCAGAACCUUAUCCUUAGGAACCAGGUGGAGCAGGUUUUCGCGGAGAGAGAUAUCAUGUCCUUCUCCGACAAUCCCUUCGUAGUGUCAAUGUACUGCAGCUUCGAGUCCAGGAAGCACCUGUGUAUGGUGAUGGAGUAUGUGGAGGGUGGAGAUUGUGCAAACCUUCUCAAGAAUAUGGGACCGUUUCCUGCUGAUAUGGCGAGGUUUUACUUCGCAGAAACAGUUCUAGCUGUUGAGUACUUACACUCAUUUGGAAUAGUGCACAGGGAUCUGAAACCUGAUAAUCUUCUCAUCACCGCACUUGGGCAUAUUAAACUCACAGACUUUGGUCUUUCAAAGAUGGGACUCAUGUCCCUCGCAACCAACCUCUACGAGGGGUAUAUUGACAAGGAAACUAAGCAGUUCUCCGACAAACAGGUUUUUGGAACUCCGGAGUAUAUAGCGCCAGAGGUUAUUCUCCGACAAGGAUACGGUAAGACCGUUGACUGGUGGAGUAUGGGAAUUAUUCUCUACGAAUUUCUGAUCGGAUGUGUUCCGUUCUUCGGAGAUACUCCGGAGGAACUUUUCGGACACACUGUUAACGAUGAUAUUGAGUGGCCGGGAGAUGAUGAUUGGCCGGUUCAACCUGAAGCCAAGGAGAUCAUCUCCUUCCUUCUGCAGCAGAAUCCUUUAGAUAGACUUGGUCUUGGCGGAGCAUAUGAGGUGAAGGAGCAUGUUUACUUCCAGGGGAUAGACUGGAAUUCGUUACUCAGAAUGAAAGCUGAUUUCAUCCCUCAGCUGGAGGAUGAUGAGGAUACAUCCUACUUUGAUUCAAGGAGUGACAGGUACAACCAUUCAACCCUGGAUACAGACGGAGAAGUUACAAGAUCUUCUGCUGAUGAUUCCCUGGAGGAUGCCCCGUUAUUCCGAUCCUUCUCCUCCUGCUCUCCACGCUAUAGAAAAGUUCAUGGAAAGGAUUCGACUGCUCAAUUCCGACACAGUAUAUCCAGGUGUGAGAGUUCAGAUAACUCGGACAAUCUGUCCAUCAGUAGUCAGUCUCCUAACAGUGUUGGUUCUUCUCCUAGUUUUGGUCCAUCAGGUCCCUCCAAGCUAUCCAUGUCUCCUGAGCUGAGACGACCCAUGGAGAUAGAGAACCUGAAGAGAGCGGAGAACACUAAGUCCUGUCCGGAGCUUGAAGCUAUGCUUGCUAACGCUGGACUCAAGAUACCAACUACUGUUGGCAAGAUUGAACCCGAGAAGAGUAAAUCUGAAGUUGAAGCACAGCAAACGUCACGAGCACUUGCUAACUUUAAACUGAAAUCUCAGGAGGAGCUGGGCAAGAGUAGUUUGUCUACUGUGAGCUAUACUCGUUCCGUCUCCGCAACCGAAUCCUCGCAGACGGAUAGCGAGGAGUGUAGUCCACAGUUGCAUCGGAGAAGGAAACAUUUGCAGGGCCGUGAACCUUUACCCAAGUUCUCUAUCUCGUUAGAAGAAGAUGAUAAGCAUCAUGAUCCGUUAACUCUACGUGGUUUAAAAGAUGUAAGUUUAUCUGGUCCCACCUCUCUACCCUGUCUGAUAACUCCUACACCUAGAGUAUCCGUGGAACCUGAAAUACCCAGUCCGCUCGUCAAGGGUGAGAAGAGUAAAUCCAUUGUUAAGAGUAGCAGUAUCAGCGGUCUUAGUCUCAUUAUUCCAACUGAUCUGAUCCACCAGGACGGAGCAACUGGAGGAGUUAGUCCUAGUAUUAUUCAGAGCGUUCAGUCUCCAGGUGGUUCCAGUACGGCAAGUAGCAGGGACGCGUCCCCAUGUCGAGAUAUUUCUCCACUUAUCAAUAGUCUCAAACCCCCCAUCAUCAUAAGACGUGGUCCUCGUGGUUUUGGAUUUACGAUACGCGCAAUCCGGGUAUACUUUGGAGACACAGACUUCUAUACAGUCCAUCAUCUUGUUAUGGAGGUUGAUAAGGGGUCUCCGGCUUUCGACGCAGGACUGAGACCAGGAGAUCUUGUCACUCAUAUAAACGGAGAAGCUGUUCAAGGUCUCUACCAUACUCAGGUUCUUCAGCUUCUUAUGUCAGGAGGAGAAGCAGUUACUCUGAGAGCCACUGCUCUGGAAACCACGUCUAUUAAAACCGGAGGACGGAGAAGGGAUCCUGCUUCUAUAAAAAUGGCGCGCCGAAAUGUCGCCAAGCAUCGACAGAAGAAAAGAGACGUGGAUAAACGUCGUAAAACGUCCUUAUUCCGUAAACUCUCCAGCAAGAGAGCAAGUGCGGAGAUGCAACAGAUUGCUAAUGCUGGAAUGUUGUCUGCUAGUAGAUCAUUACAGUCUCUUCGGGAACCAGUUAUUCCCAUUCCUGGUGUUAAAUCUCCACCAGCUGGGAGACUUCAUUCCCCCACCCCACUACCAGAUUCCCCCCUUUCCUCCCCCUCAGAGUCCUGUGAUACAUCCAGUGCCUGUUCUCUUUCAGGCGGUCUAAACUCCUCCAGCUCAACUAGACCUUCCUCUCUACACGGACUCAAGCAUAAACUUCAUAUAAAAACCAAGAAUCUGCAUUCUCCUAGACGGAAAUCUGUUGGACACAUCCCCCUGUCUCCUUUGGCUAGAACACCGUCCCCGUCUCCUCUGCCGGUCUCUCCGACAAGGUCACCUAGUCCUCUUGCUCUACCCUUGGGUCAUCAACCUGGAUCGUCCAACGCAACUCAGUCCUUCUCUCCAGGCAGUAAUCUGAGUAUUACUCCCAGUAAAAAGUCUUUCUCUCGACCCAAGUCCACUGAGCCGAGCACUGCAGGUUCUCCUCUUUUGAGACGAGCUCUAUCUCCGGAUAGGUUGCAUCCUAGAAGUGCGGAAGGAAAGAAACCUACAACAAUAUCCCCUCUGUGUAGUAAAGCUAUUGGAGGAACGAAACAUUCCUACAGUUCAUCAUCUACAAAUACUUCUCCUCUACCUUCCAGAGCUCUUCAUUCCUCUCCAAUCAGUUCUCAUGAGCAAACCACCGGAGAUUCUCCCACUCUAUCCCAUCUUGGGCACCACAGGAAGCACUCGUGUAAAUCCCUGAGUCAGCCCACUAUACCAGAGGAAGGUCCUGAACACGAGGACUAUUCUCCAACAGCAUUCCCAACCAGCACCAGUUCCACAGCUCAGAGUAUUACAAAUAAAAUUUUUGCCUCGUUCACCAGUAAAUCUACAGACAAGAAUACGACCAAUCCACCAAAGGAGGAGAAAAAAGUUGAUCUGAGAGCUACUAAAAGCUUAAACACGGAAGUGAUGAAAACCAAGGACAUGAAGGAAGUGCAAGGUGUAGGAGUGUCCGGAUCUGGGUCUAAUACUAAGCUCAAGAAAUCCUCGUCAUUUAAAGAGGACAUCGCGACAGCAGACGGUAAGACUUCGGAGAAAAGCACGGUUGUAAAUGCAACCGUCAAAUCCCCGAAACUUUCCCGAGCUGAGUCUAUGACAGAGAGAACUGUUCAGAAGAUCACGAAGGUUAUUCGUGGCUCCUCAAGAUCAGAAUCAAGGUCCAAGAAGACCAGGGAAACUAGUCUCAGUCCUAAAGGCGUAAAAUCAGAUCAUGAAAAACCUGGGACCAAAAAAAGUGAGGCUGUAAAAUCAGAUUUGAAAAAGACGACUGAUAAAGAUAAGAAGUCAGCAAACGAAAAAAGAGAAAUGUUUAAAAGUCAUUACAGCAAAGAUUAAGAUUUCUUUUGGUUUAAGUAUUUAAGAUGUUAUAUGUAUUAUAAAUUGUUGCUUUUUAGUCUAUAUCGACCACAUUCAGAGAUUUAUCCAGUUUAAUAUAACAGUGUCGUAAUUAAUAUUUUGUUGCAGUAGGUUCAGAACUAUGUAAACCUUCUCCGAUAAAUGUUAGUUGUUUAUGAUUCAUGAUUCUGAUAUUCAUUAAAUCGUACAUGGAA